AGGAAAAAUUGACGCCAAAGGAAUGCUUGCGCGCAAACCAUCCGUCGAUUCCGAUGGAGUGUCACAAUUUGAAAACUCUCUUCUUUGAAUGCAAGCGCUCGAUGACAACAGACAAAGGUUCCGAGGAAGGAAAGGCUACUGACUGUCACGUAUUCAAGUCGUAGGAUAGCUGAAUGACAAGCCGUUAUCACGGUGUACGUAUGUCAUGAAUAAACUUUAUUUUGCUUUGUA